UAAACAGGUAGACCUGGAGCUGAUGCCAUGCUGUCUAUCUAACUAAAUAAACAGGUAGACCUGGAGCUGAUGCCAUGCUGUCUAUCUAACUAAAUAAACAGGUAGACCUGGAGCUGAUGCCAUGCUGUCUAUCUAACUAAAUAAACAGGUAGACCUGGAGCUGAUGCCAUGCUGUCUUUCUAACUAAAUAAACAGGUAGACCUGGAGCUGAUGCCAUGCUGUCUAUCUAACUAAAUAAACAGGUAGACCUGGAGCUGAUGCCAUGCUGUCUAUCUAACUAAAUAAACAGGUAGACCUGGAGCUGAUGCCAUGCUGUCUUUCUAACUAAAUAAACAGGUAGACCUGGAGCUGAUGCCAUGCUGUCUAUCUAACUAAAUAAACAGGUAGACCUGGAGCUGAUGCCAUGCUGUCUAUCUAACUAAAUAAACAGGUAGACCUGGAGCUGAUGCCAUGCUGUCUUUCUAACUAAAUAAACAGGUAGACCUGGAGCUGAUGCCAUGC